rnacentral:rRNA from 1 species
UGCAGUCGAACGGCAGCAUGAUCUAGCUUGCUAGAUUGAUGGCGAGUGGCGAACGGGUGAGUAAUACAUCGGAACGUGCCCUGUAGUGGGGGAUAACUAGUCGAAAGAUUAGCUAAUACCGCAUACGACCUGAGGGUGAAAGUGGGGGACCGCAAGGCCUCAUGCUAUAGGAGCGGCCGAUGUCUGAUUAGCUAGUUGGUGAGGUAAAGGCUCACCAAGGCGACGAUCAGUAGCUGGUCUGAGAGGACGAUCAGCCACACUGGGACUGAGACACGGCCCAGACUCCUACGGGAGGCAGCAGUGGGGAAUUUUGGACAAUGGGCGAAAGCCUGAUCCAGCAAUGCCGCGUGUGUGAAGAAGGCCUUCGGGUUGUAAAGCACUUUUGUCCGGAAAGAAAUGGCUCUGGUUAAUACCUGGGGUCGAUGACGGUACCGGAAGAAUAAGGACCGGCUAACUACGUGCCAGCAGCCGCGGUAAUACGUAGGGUCCAAGCGUUAAUCGGAAUUACUGGGCGUAAAGCGUGCGCAGGCGGUUGUGCAAGACCGAUGUGAAAUCCCCGAGCUUAACUUGGGAAUUGCAUUGGUGACUGCACGGCUAGAGUGUGUCAGAGGGGGGUAGAAUUCCACGUGUAGCAGUGAAAUGCGUAAGAUGUGGAGGAAUACCGAUGGCGAAGGCAGCCCCCUGGGAUAACACUGACGCUCAUGCACGAAAGCGUGGGGAGCAAACAGGAUUAGAUACCCUGGUAGUCCACGCCCUAAACGAUGUCAACUAGUUGUUGGGGAUUCAUUUCCUUAGUAACGUAGCUAACGCGUGAAGUUGACCGCCUGGGGAGUACGGUCGCAAGAUAAA